UAAGUAUGAUAUUUGCAUGGUGCUUUGACCCGACCCGUCUCACGAACAAGGAUCCGUGAGACGGUCUCACACAAGUGUGACCCUUUAUGGAUAAAUAUUGCAUUAUAACAGAGUCAAUAGCACUGAAAAAUCGUGAUGGGAUGAUAAUAUUAGGGAAUAACAGUCUAAUAUAAGUUAUAUAAGUCAAGUUAAUAGUGUAAUUAAGUCCCGCCGGAAAAUAAAUGGUCAUUUUCUCGCCGGGAAAUAAAUCCGGCGGUUUUUCCGGCAAUUUUUCACCGGAAAAAAAAAAAAAACUAUUUUUCGUCAGAAAAAAAUUUCAUUUUCAAGUAGGAUUGAAAUGGGAAUUUACAUUGUUGAAAACAAUUCCCCUUUCAAGCAAGAAAACAUCGAUUGUCAUAUUUACCCUAGUUCCCUGGGGGUUUUACUAAAAAGUAACAAUCACUUGAUCCGCAAUCUGAGGGUGGAAAUUUUGAGAUUGGGGCACAAGGUGGCGAUAUGGUGGCUGAUCAGCAUUGCGAUGGGUUCCCACGGGGUUUUACUAAAAAGUAACAAUCACUUGAUCAGCAAUCUGAGGGUGGAAAUUCAGAGCGAGACUGGGGCACAAGGUGGCGAUAUGGUGGCUGAUCAGCAUUGCGAUGGGCAAUCUGAGGGUGGAAAUUCAGAGCGAGACUGGGGCACAAGGUGGCGAUAUGGUGGCUGAUCAGCAUUGCGAUGGGCAAUCUAAGGGUGAAAAUUCAGAGCGAGACUGGGGCACAAGGUGGCGAUAUGGUGGCUGAUCAGCAUUGCGAAGGGUUCCCUCGGGGUUUUACUGAAAAGUAACAAUCACUUGAUCAGCAAUCUGAGGGUGGAAAUUCAGAGCUAGACUGGGGCAUAAGGUGGCGAUAUGGUGGCUGAUCAGCAUUGCGAUGGGUUCCCUCAGGAUUUUACUAAAAAGUAACAAUCACUUGAUCAGCAAUCUGACGGUGGAAAUUCUGAUACUGGGGCACAAGGUGACGAUAUGGUGGCUGAUCAGCAUUGCGAUGGGGUAAAUUCUGACACUAGCUGUCUAAUUC